GAGACUACUUUGUAAAUAACAGAGUAAAGCAAAACUUAGCCUAGUUCCUCGAAUUCGUGUUAUAACAUAGCUAGUAUAUCCGUGGGAUCUGAAUCAAUAGCACUAGCGUGCAUCACGAUGCAGUGAUAACAACAUUCAAUAGCGACACUCUGUGCUCCACAAAAUCUUCAAAUGACCGUGCAAAUAGCCGCACUAACUAGACUUUAUCCCUAUCUCAAAGCGAGAGAAAAGUCCAUGUUCAUUACGAAAAUGUUUAGCUAUGGUGAAGGUCUUUUGUUGGCGAUCUUUUGGCCCCACAGUCACCGAACAAACUAAAAACGGAGCAGAGAGAGUCGUUUUAUAUGUAGUACGGACAAAAGUGAAUUUGAUUUCAUCAUCGAAAAAAGUUCUGUUUUUGUUCUCGUUUGUUCCCGAUCGUUGUGGCUAUGUUAUGAAGAAUUGGAUCAUGUUUUUAGCUGUGCAUCUUUCGAGUUGUGGAGAGCACUUAAGAAGGUAGACUGAGCAGCUCCUGGCUGUAUCUCGAGCAGUUCUUACGCUUCUCUCUUGCUCUCCAAAACUCCCGUGUGGAUCCAUAACUCGAUAGAAGCUCGCUAAGCUGAAGCAAUUGUUAUUUUUUGAUGAGAGAGUUGCCAUGUGCCAUUGAUGAAAUCCCCGAAUCGAUAGUACAUCAGAACGUGCUAUAUCAAGCUGCUCAUGCACUUCUGCUCACUGCAGCAGUCACUUCAGUUCCUUUCAAUAUCGUUUUGUAUCAUACAUUUUACAUGUUAAACUUACUUAUUCAGCAUUUAUACCUUCUAAGAUGGUAAAAGUAGAAUUUAGGAACCACGGCUUGGGCAUUGGCCUAACCGAUAUCAAGCUUUACAAUUUAUGUACGAUGAAACUUAUAUAUAUUGUCAUGUAAUUUACACUGUAAAUAAUAAUUAUUAAACAAAACAAAACACUUAAAUUGUAACUCUAGCAAUUCCGUUACAGGCUUUUGCUACGAAAAACUUCAAUUCCAGUUGCUAAAGUAAAAAUAAAAGUUGUCUAUAAAAUGAUCUAUUAUUCACAGUUCAGCUAAAAUAUUUUUUCAUCCUAUACUAUAAAAUGUGGGUCGCAUAGUUCGAUCCUUGUAAUAUCAUAUCCGAGGCCUAAAACAUGUUAUAUAUUUGCACAAUUUGCUCGUCUGAUCCUAGCAACACCCCGACAAACCCAGUCUGUUUUACAGUGUUUACAUCAAAAUAUAUAUGUACCAUGCCUUAUAUCUUUACAAACGUGUAGUGAGUCUUAGAUGUACCUUAGUCCCCUAUACUAACCAUGCAUGGUUUCAAGUUAUCGGAAAAUUUAAAUAACUCUGCCGACCUUCCUUGCAGACAACAAAACGUACCUCUUAAUUUUAAGUCGACAGACCGGAUUCCCGUCCUUGUCCUGCGCCAAACACCCAGAAGUCCAGAGGCUUCGCUUAUUACUUCAGCGGGAUAACGCUACAGAUAUCUCGAUAGUGUGUGUUGUAGAAAAAGCCCAUUCUAAGGUUUCAUGCCACUUAAAGACCCACUCUUUAUCUCCAGGAUGUUUACGAGAAGCGCCGUUAUGUCAGAAUUCAAGAAGAGCUCCUUGUACAUUGUUUACCCCAGGAAGAUAUAAAAUCAGUUACGCACACGUCGUAUAGAUCUAUAAAAAAAAACUGGUUUAAAAGACUCACGUAGCAAUGAUAAAACUGAUAAACAUUUAUAGGGAUCGAUCGGAAAUUAUCACCUUCUUUUACGUUUUUCCGGUUAAGGCCAUCUUGUGACGCAACUGCUAUCAACAGAGAGAUCCUUUCUGUUCUUCCAAUGAAACCAAAUCGAUAACACGGAAUAUCAGAGAAAUCAACUGGAAAGAAAAUACACUGAAUUUCUACGAAGAUUACUGGUAGCCGAAAACUAGAGGGAGUUUAUCCAGGCCCAUGAACAUGUUGGGAUUCCAUCCAACUUUUGUCUUUAAGUUGGAGAGAUUUUCAUGCCAGGCUUUCUUCUUGUUGCCCAUACAAACAAUAAUGCAUCUGCUUUAUACGUGCAUAACUUCAUUACAUAUGUGAGAUGAUGUCUCCCAACACCUGCUAGCUACGGAUCGCAGAAAUAAGCUACAGAGUUCGUGAAUCCAAUAUGUUUUUGGCUCUCAAUCUCUCUAAUCGUCCCACGUUCGAUGCAUGCCUUCCGGAAUAGAAUAACCGGUUGUAGUCACGAAUCAAGGAAAUGAUUGAAAAAAUACAUAAAUAAAUAAAUAAAAAAAAAAAUGAUGACGGAGCGGAUUACCAAGUUCUCAUUGCCGCCAGUAAGAGCAAAACCGUUGUCAAAAAAGAAACAGGCACGAUCCAUGCAGGCAGGGGUGAAUACACACAUUGGAAAUAUAUUUCCGUAGGUGCACGAUGAGAUUGCACUUUUGGCUCAACAUUUCAAGACGGACAAAACAAGCAGUGUGACGUCACAAUGAUCGUUUUCACAAUUCGUGGGCCCGUGACGUGGCGCGUGGCAAUAAAAGGUGGGACGUUGCGUGGAAAGUUAGUUCAAUGAAUCGACGCUAACGAGCAGCAACUGUAAAGACGAAGCAACGCAAACUUUGGUUCUCGUCAGCUGUGACAAACAAAUCUUUAACCUGCAAAAUACUGACUAAAGAUUUCUUCUAUCCGUGGAAGUUCCAGACGAUUCCAAUAUGAAAACUGAAAUCACCUUCAUCGCAGCAUGUUUCUUGUUGAUGACUCAGUUGAUGGUAAUAACUGCAAGACCAAGAUUCAACCGACGGAUUGUUCGAAUGAAAAGAAAAACAAUGGAGGAAACACCAAGUGUCAUUUUAACAAGACCUGUUCCAAGCAAAGAAAGUCAUAUAGACGAAGAGGGCGUCUUAGCGAAGCUGCUUAGCUUGGAUGAUGUUGACGCCAGCGACAGAAAACAGAAGCCAGAUGCUUUCAGCACUGACUUAGCCAGAUUAUCAUAUGAACCAAAGCUUCAACCAGACGAUAACACCAAGAAGACAAGACAAGGCAAAAGAAGAGUACGAAGACAACGUUGUUUUCCCCCUUUUUGGCAGUGUGCAGUACGACCGACUAACUCGAAUCAUAAGCAAGUACAACCUCAACGAGGCAACAUGAACUUAUAAUGUGUCCAACGUUAUUGGACGUUUUGCAGUAAACAUUGAAUGGUGUCAGUAGGAAAUACACGACAACAACAAAAACGUAUUAUUCACCUGAGACAGCAGGCCUCCAAUGUGACGAAUCAGUCUCUGGUUUAAAAGACACCAGUUUAGCAUUGAUUGCAAGUUGCCACGCACUGUAAAGCCUGUUACGCUAUUUUAGCCCAGAAUUCAUACUUUAAGAGUCGCUAUAUAAACCUAUUUCUAGCUCCUAAAGUAAAAAAGCAACAACAACAACAAACAAAACAAACAAAAAAAUAAUAGCCGUUACUCAAUGUUACCGAAAAGACAUUUGUUUUCUUCGAUUUUGCCAUGCCGAUUUAGAGCCCAGUUUAGAAUUCAUUUUUUGAGGGUGAUAUCAAAUCCUUCAAAGAAAUAACCAUUCUGAAGAUAUUGAGCUAGAGGUUAAACUGUGUAAUUGUCAAAAGUUAAGGUUUGUUAAAAAGUUCAGCAUUUAUGCUUUAGACAAAUUAGCACUUAACAUAAUAUACACUGUCGAUGGGCUUGUACAAUGAAGUUUUUAUAACCUGAACGAUUCAACGUGAAUAGUUUUCCAGAAGUAUAAAGUCAUUUACACGCCCUCUGAUUCCUUGAUGUCUUUUGAUUUCCUCUAGCUAUUAAAGAAUUACUGAAAACAAAAAAAUGCUCUACAAUAAAAGGUUCCCUUUUUAUCAAAAUUACCAAUCGAACUACUAGUGAGAAAAACAUGUUUAUAAUUAGAAGAAUUUAUUUUCAGGAAUUAAUAAAGCUUACUUUGUUCUCUAGCUUCAAACAAAUGGAAUACAACUUUUUUUCACAUACGCCUCAGCGAAAGUAAAUGCUUUUUUAGCCUUUGAUCGGAUCAAAGUUUAUUUAAGUCGUAUGUUUUUUGCGAAGUAAACAAUUAAAAUUGUUUUGCUGUAUUUAUACGCAUAAGAAAAUAAAAGGAAUAUUUAAUUAAUGGAAUUGCAUGUAAAUAUAUGCGCUUUGCUUUGUCUACGUAAUGUAUAAAUAAAAGAGCAUUGAAGUGUUGUAUAA